rnacentral:misc_RNA from 1 species
AAGUCGUAACAAGGUUUCCGUAGGUGAACCUGCGGAAGGAUCAUUACAAAUAAAGCCGGUAGGAGGUGGGGUCUUGAUCUGUAAGUGGUAGAGCGAACAGUCCGGCUGCCUCCCGAAAUGUCUUACAUGCCCCCACCCACGACCGCUAGUAAAGGCCGAAAUUACCAAUCCCUUUGAUUAUCUUACACUUUGGUUGCUUUGGGAUGCCUCAAGUGCCCCAAGAGGACCCAAAUUCUCUUGCAUUUAGUGACGUCUGAGUACUAUAUAAUAUUUAAAA